CUGGGUAAACUGGGAAUGUGUUUGGUGAGUGUGUUUGUGUCAAAGUCAGAGAGCCGUGUCUCUGUACAGUCAGAGGUUUUUGUACGACGACUCAAUCAGUUUGUAUCACUGUGGUUGACUUUUGGUGGAGGAACCAGACUGGAUGUUGGAAGUGAUGUCCGUCCCACCCUGACGGUGCUGCCCCCCUCCAGAGAGGAGCUGCAGCAGGGGAAGGCCACGCUCAUGUGCCUGGCCAACAAGGGCUUCCCCUCAGACUGGAGUCUGGCCUGGAAGGUGGACGGCAGCAGCAGCAGCAGCAGCAGCAGCUGGGAGGAGAGCAGGAGCCCCGGGGUGCUGGAGAAGGACGGCCACUACAGCUGGAGCAGCACCCUGAGGCUCCCUGCAGACCAGUGGGGGAAGGUGGGCUCUGUGACCUGUGAGGCCACCCAGGGCUCCCAGACUCCGCUCUCAGAGACACUGAGGAGAGACCAGUGUUCCCAGUCCUGACCUAACUCACUGGGACUCUGCUACUGGUUUUACUCUGCUACUGUUCUCACUCUGCCAACCUCUCUUAUUCUAUCCAUCAGUCAAUGUUUCAACAUUAACACUUUACUGCUUGUGUUGAUGGUUUCAACAUUUUAAAUCAAUAAAGACUUUAUCACGUGUUUAUCAGUCUGGUGUCUUUUGACUUCAU